rnacentral:rRNA from 1 species
AUGGAUCCCAACGACGCCUUCUUGGCCGCGCACCCGUUUAGGUGGGACCUCGGCCCACCGGCUCCGGCAGCCGUGCCUCCUCCUCCUCCCCCGCCUCCGCUUCCUCCUGCGCUGCCUCCGGCGAACGCGCCGAGGGAGCUGGAGGACCUCGUGGUCGGGUAUGGCGUGCGCGCGUCCACGGUGGCGCGGAUCUCGGAGCUCGGGUUCACGGCUAGCACGCUCCUGGUCAUGACCGAGAGCGAGCUCGACGACAUGACGGCCGCGCUCGCGGGGUUGUUCCGCUGGGACCUGCUCAUCGGCGAGCGGUUCGGCCUUCGCGCCGCGCUGCGCGCCGAACGUGGCCGCCUCAUGUCACCAGGCUGCCGCCACCACGGAUACCAGUCCGGCAGCACCAUCGACGGCGCCUCACAGGAAGUGUUGUCGAACGAGCGCGAUGGGGCGGCUAGCGGCGGCAUCGGCGAAGACGACGCCAUGAGGAUGAUGGCGUCUGGCAAGAAGCAGAAGAAUGGGUCCGCAGCGAGGAAGGCCAAGAAGGCGAGGAGGAACAAGGUGAAGGAGCUGCGACUGGACAUGCAGGGGGACGAGCACGAGGACGGCGGGGGCGGCCGGUCGGAGUCGACGGAGUCGUCAGCCGGAGGCGUCGGCGGGGAGCGGCAGCGGGAGCACCCGUUCGUGGUGACGGAGCCCGGCGAGGUGGCGAGGGCGAAGAAGAACGGGCUGGACUACCUGUUCCAUCUCUACGAGCAGUGCCGCCUCUUCCUGCUCCAGGUGCAGUCCAUGGCCAAGCUGCAUGGCCAGAAGUCUCCAACCAAGGUGACGAACCAGGUGUUCAGGUACGCGAGCAAGGUGGGGGCGAGCUACAUCAACAAGCCCAAGAUGCGGCACUACGUGCACUGCUACGCGCUGCACUGCCUGGACGAGGACGCCUCCGACGCGCUGCGCCGGGCGUACAAGGCGCGCGGCGAGAACGUCGGCGCCUGGAGGCAGGCGUGCUACGCGCCGCUGGUGGACAUCGCGGCGCGCCACGGCUUCGACAUCGACGCCGUCUUCGCCGCGCACCCGCGGCUCGCCAUCUGGUACGUGCCCACCAGGCUCCGCCAGCUCUGUCACCAGGCGCGCAGCGCCCACGACGCCGCCGCCGCCGCACACGCCGGCUCCAUGCCGCCGCCAAUGUUCUAG